GUGCCAGCAGCCGCGGUAAUACGUAGGGGGCAAGCGUUGUCCGGAAUUAUUGGGCGUAAAGCGCGCGCAGGCGGUUUUUUAAGUCUGGUGUAUAAACCUGAGGCUCAACCUUGGGACGCAUUGGAAACUGGGGAACUGGAGUGUAGGAGAGGAAAGUGGAAUUCCACGUGUAGCGGUGAAAUGCGUAGAUAUGUGGAGGAACACCAGUGGCGAAGGCGACUUUCUGGCCUAUAACUGACGCUGAGGCGCGAAAGCGUGGGGAGCAAACAGGAUUAGAUACCCUGGUAGUCC
rnacentral:rRNA from 1 species